rnacentral:rRNA from 1 species
CGCGUGCAGGAUGAAGGCUUCGGGUUGUAAACUGCUUUUGUACGGAACGAAAAGACUCCUUCUAAUAAAGGGGGUCCAUGACGGUACCGUAAGAAUAAGCACCGGCUAACUACGUGCCAGCAGCCGCGGUAAUACGUAGGGUGCAAGCGUUAAUCGGAAUUACUGGGCGUAAAGCGUGCGCAGGCGGUUAUAUAAGACAGAUGUGAAAUCCCCGGGCUCAACCUGGGAACUGCAUUUGUGACUGUAUAGCUAGAGUACGGCAGAGGGGGAUGGAAUUCCGCGUGUAGCAGUGAAAUGCGUAGAUAUGCGGAGGAACCCGAUGGCGAAGCAAUCCCCUGGGCCUGUACUGACGCUCAUGCACGAAAGCGUGGGGAGCAAACAGGAUUAGAUACCCUGGUAGUCCACGCCCUAAACGAUGUCACUGGUUGNUGGGAAU